AGCUUUGUGCAGUGGCAGUAUCGUAGCCAAUGAGGUUUAUCUGAGGUGCAAUUAUUGUUAAUUGAAAACUUUUCCGCCGGGCGCGGUGGCUCAAGCCUGUAAUCCCAGCACUUUGGGAGGCCGA
rnacentral:snRNA from 1 species